rnacentral:rRNA from 1 species
UGCGGAGGGGGCUAGCGUUGUUCGGAAUUACUGGGCGUAAAGCGCACGUAGGCGGCGAUUUAAGUCAGAGGUGAAAGCCCGGGGCUCAACCCCGGAAUAGCCUUUGAGACUGGAUUGCUAGAAUCUUGGAGAGGCGGGUGGAAUUCCGAGUGUAGAGGUGAAAUUCGUAGAUAUUCGGAAGAACACCAGUGGCGAAGGCGGCCCGCUGGACAAGUAUUGACGCUGAGGUGCGAAAGCGUGGGGAGCAAACAGGG